GGACUUGUAGCUCAAUGGUAGAGCAACCUGCAGUUAUUGAUGUUAACUAUAGUGUAUCUUGCGGGUUCAAAUCCCGCCAAGUCCU
rnacentral:tRNA from 1 species